CGGCUCUGACAUCGGGGCGGUGCCAGGCGGGAGCGCGCGCCGGGCUAGGGCAUCGCGGGAGUGGUGUUUCCGAUCUACGCUGCUUCGGUCUCUGUGUUACCGCGUGGGGCCUCAACUUCUGAACUCGCUUACCCUCAGCUUCCUGGGCCACAGCUCAUUGUUCUCCCUUAACUGCGCGGUGUCGGCGUCCUCGCUCGUGGUGUACUCGCAGUUCGCUUUCCGGGUGCUGGCAUUCACAAGAAUGGCUCAGUAAUCUAGGCCUUUAGGUGUCAUCCUUACCCUCUCCCCGCACCAUGACGGUGGAGACGCAUUGGGGAGGAAAAGUGAACCCCUUAAGAGGACUGCUCCGAGGGCAAAUGGAACUAGCUCAGCAGCUUGCCACCCCUGGGUGCCUGGCCGGGUAAACAAAAUCUUUUAGAGGGUUUGUGCUUUGCAGAACUCAAGACUGAAGCCCAACCCUUUAGUGAUUUGACUCUGUGUAUCUCCAGCUCAUGAUUCCCUAUGCAUGGUUUACCUACCAGGAAAGAAGGCACUCCUCAGCUACUAUAAAUAUCAGGUGUAACUUGAUGUUUAAGGUGGGUAUUAUAAAUGCCAUUGACAUUGACACCGGACAGCCAUUUUAAUCACCUGGGAGCUUAUUAGAAAUGCAUACUUUUGGCCCCACUCCAGUCUUUCUGAAUCAGAAACUUGAGAUUCCCAGGCAGUUCCUCUACACCAUAAAGUUUAAGAAGCAUUGGUGAGCCAAUCACAAUAAUUCCAUCUUGAUAGGGACUGUUUCUGUAAUGGGUGUGUCAUCCAUUUUGAGCCGGUGAAACCCCAAGGUGCCAGCUCAGAGCAUCUGGGAGGAAAAAAGCCAGUCUCUCCUGGAUGUAAACAAGGCUGCAAGACAGCACACUGCCUCAGUUCCUGCUGUCAAACAUCUUGUGACCACAAGUGAACCUAGAUUGUGGCCAAGACUGCCAGGAGCCUACCCAGAGUGUUCAUUCUCCUCUUCCUGAGUAAUAGGACCAGUGGACGUUCCCAUGGGAUGGAAGAAGCAUAGGAUGGAAAUGAGUGCCCUAGACUUUGCAGCAACACACAUUGUGUUAGGAAUGUGUCUAUAAGGCCUGUUGAGACAAGUGGUUUUCAACCAGAGUUGCAUAUCAGAAUCACUUGGGCAACAUUUUAAAGAUAUCAAUUUCCAGGCCCCCUCCUAGAGGUGUUUUUGUUGUUGCUGUUGUUGUUUGGUUUUUUUUAACGGCCACACCUUUGGCCUAUGGAAGCUUCUGGGCAAGGUGUUGAAUUGCAGCUGCAGGCCUAUGCCACAGCCAUGGCAACACUAAGUCCAAGCUGUAUCUGCAACCUAUGCCACAGCUUGUGGCAACACUGGAUUCUCAACCCUCUGAGUGAGGCCAGGGAUUGAACCUGCAUCCUCACAGACACUGUGUCAGAUUCUUAAUCUGCUAAAUCACAGUGGGAAUGCCACAAAGAUUUUGAUUUAAUGGAUUUGGGCAGAAGUCUGGACACAUUC